CUUGCUCUGCUCUUUAAAACAGGAGUACUGCACUUAAACGUAAUUUACCCCGCAUUAAUUCUUCACCAUUAUGACCGUUUUAGCAGGAACUUCAGCAAUGUUUUCUUCCUGGUCAGGAGUUUGGAUACAAAAAGUUCCCCAAAGUAACCCCAAUGCUUGUUUACCUCUGUAGUUGUCUUAAAACACGUGCUUGUAAGAAUGCUUUAGAACCCUAACACUGCUUUGUAUAUUAGCAUCGUGUAACAUACACCACUAAAAUGUUUCAAUUCACACUUUGACUAGGCACAAUUUUGUCUCUGGCACUAAAUACACCCGCAUUAUGAAACACUCCACAUACUCACACCUUUUUAAACCUAUCAUCUUACAAGAUCUUUAGAAAUCACAACAGAAUUAGGAAAUUACAUUGACCAAAGUUUCAUCAGAGAACUCCAAUAUUAAUUAGAUUUCAAUCUAAAGUGAAAUGUUCUACACUGCUAUAUCACCCUGUGAAAUACGAAGUUUCAUGUCUGGGAUAUGAAGAACAUCUGUGUAGUUGUAGUUGUGGAACACGGACAUGGGACAAUUAUAAAGACGAGUUCUAAUAAACAGCCGAGGAAAGCAUGGAAGGAAGUUUUUGAAUAACUCAUUUGCUUGCAAUUACUUAUUAUAAAUCUGAAGCUAUUCUGUAAUACGUGUCUUUUAAUUAUAACUUUAGAAGCUUGCUUUGUAUUAAAGAAUUUUUAACUGUAGUUUUAGACUGUAAAAAGGCUUUUAGACAAAAGAAGGAAGUAAGGAGGGCCUCAGGCCUUUUCACAGAAGGUUGGAAACAUCCUGGAUACAAAAGAAGGAUUUCAGCUCACUGAUUUAUGGUUCUUGAAAAUGGAAACUGGACAUCACUAUUGAAGAUUGACAGACCUGGAAAAUAGAUACUGGACCCCCACAUCUGGAAGCUGGAUGCCACCACCUGGGAUACAUAUCCUGGAUGUACAUCCUGGAAUACUGAAAUAUCGAAAUAGAUCACAAUAGCGUAUAGAACUGAACAGGAACCAAACAUUACCACCACAGAUUUAUGACUGUUAGAUAUUGAAUAGUGACGUUAAAAAUUAGAAAUGGAAACUGCUGAGAAAAGCUUAUGAAUAUGUAUGAAUAUAGCCAAUAAAAUACCAGCAAGUCCAGCAAUUGGUGUGCAGUUGGAAGGGAAAAUCCUUCUACUGUACCCAGCACGCUGUCUUUGCUCACACUUUACCAUGCUAAUUAAUUAAUUAUUAAAUUGAAUUGCUGCUUGAUAUAUUGGCCGUGUCAAGCAUCUCAUUUCUAACAACCCACAAAUUAAUUCCCAGGCUGUCUCAGUCUGUUAGAGACUAGAAACUCUGAAGACUAUUCCAUUUUGUCUACAGAACAUGGAAAAAUAGCAACUUUUUAUCUACUAAACAGUGUUUUCCUGGAUGAAAAGAAGUGCACUUGCAAAGGAAACAGUAAUAAAAAAAACCCCAAACUUUUAAUUUUUUUAUUAACCUUUACAAGUUAAAUAAAACUUGAUCAGUGCUCUCAUUCCCUCACACUCAGCACAAAGCCUUUUUUGUAAGGCUUUUUAUUGUAACUUUUUUCCAAACCUUGAAAAAAUAAAAUUCCAGGCUUUGACCAAAGAAUUCAUAAGGCAAAUAGGCAGUUAAAAGGAGUAGAGUUUUUACCUUAUCUAAAAGCCUGUAGGCUUUAAAAAUUCAUUAGAAAUGCUUGAGCAUUCAAAUUUACACUUAGUUUUUUUAAUUCAUGACAAGUAAAGGUCUAUCAAAUAUUGACUUUGUCCAGUUCUACCUUAACACAGCGGAAAGAACAGAGAUAUUGAGCCCCACCUGUAAAAGACAAGGCACAUUCAAGACCGAGCCCACUCCACUACCACACAAACUACUUACUGCUCCCUGAAGGCCAAGAGCCUGGCGCCCUCAAAAGACAAUCAAGAUAACUGUGCCAACUCUCUACAGCCCAGAGAGGAACUGUAUGGUCUUUGCCAAAAGUAUUUAGAUCAAUGUACUACCACACCACCCGGAGGCUGUGCUACCUUGUCCUUAGUAUUGCUACACCCCUGGGCAGGGCAGCUACAACCGUGACACGGACAUCCAACACCACAAGCACUGAGACUGUGUGAUAAGUGCAUAAGCAAAAAUGACUUCCAUAGGGAACAUGGCACCCAUCAGCAGAGAGGUCCAACAGUGCCAUGACAGUGCAGGUGCUCUACAGCAGCCCUGCAAAGUGGUGACUGCUGCAGCCAUCAGAGGAGACGUGGAUGAGAGCCAUCAAAAGAAUGAUGGAUGAGCAAGAAGCCAAGCUUUAAGACAAAAGACUGUUAUUUACCUGGGGAUGCAAUCCCCAGAGACAACUCUGUCAAAAGAGAACUCACAGAAGUGGAACUGAAGGCACCACCUGGCUCACCAAUGUGAGAGAUCACCGCUCAGAAACAAUUACAAUAUGACAGACACCAGACAGAUCCACACCUUAAGCUAGAAUUGGAAGACAAGAAAGGCUUGACAAAGUGCUAUGCUGAUGUGGCAAUGUACCUGCGACUCACGGGAGGGCUACCAAGGUGCCUGGUGAUCACUUAGAACUAUGGAGACACCAGGACCCGAGGAAGGUAGAGUGUACAAUGCAGAAGACAGACUUAACAGAGUUUACACAACACAGACACAUGCUGGAACUGCCUUCCUAGGCACAGUCCUCACAUUGUGCUGAGAACUAAUGUGCUCCCUUGACCUGCUCCUGAAUGGCUCUCUCCCGUACACUGACUUUAAACUCCUCCUUGUAAUUCCCAACCUUGCCUCCUAUCCCCUCAGCAUCCUUCCUUCCCCUUCACUUCAGAGGAAUGGGGUUCUGUGGCCAUCUUCCUUGCUAUUUGCCAGCAAGCCCAGGCAGGCGAGCCUCAGUAUUACUGCCCUGCUCUAGGGCACGCCCGCUGCUGGAUGCAUGUCCCAUGCACCUGGGGCCGAGUGCACGCACGCACUGCCCGUGGUUGCAACAGCACCGUGGCCCUCAUGACCAGGCAAAGGCCUCCUCAUAACCUCUGCACUGAGACCCCUUGGUGCGAUCUGAGCUCCCCUGCCGUGCCACCUUCAGUGAUCAGGAGUCAUCCACACCUACCGAGGCGUCCCACUUGCCUCACCCAUGUCCUCUGGCCCUUGGCAUCUGCUCAAAGGGGAGAUGCACCCCGCGCCAUCAUGAUGCCCCUGUGACCGAGAAAUGGGUGCAACAGCACCAGAUCCUGAGCAUGGUGCGUCCGCCACCCAUGCCAGGACAGCAGUGAAGAGCGGCGGGCAGGAAAGGAAAUGGCGCCCUGAUGGGGCAGUAGCACACCGGGACGCCCCGGCAGCACCAAACUGAGCAGGAUGACCUGCAGCCGGUGGGGAGCUCUGGCCGCCAGCCGUGCGGCAGGGCUGCAGGGCACCACGGGAAGUGUUCGUGCAGGUGGAGAGCUUCAUUCUGGACAAGCCAUCAUUGAAGUGCUGUCGGAGUAAGUUUUAUAUUAAACCACAGAAAUAAAAGCUUUUGAUACAAAUAAGUAACAAAAUUAAUGUAGCAGACAAUUAUUUAUCUACAAUAGUCAACAAUACAAAGAAUUAGAUAUAAAAGGUUUUUUGGUCAAAAGCUUAUUAUACAUUUGGAACAUCUGUCCCCCUAUCUCAAGACUGAUCAAAUACAAAGAAAUUAGGCAUAAAGCUUUCUGGCUCUCAAGAGAUGCCAUGAUCCUAAGACUGAAAAAAAAAACCCCUCAAAACCAAAA